UUCUUAUCAAGAGAGGUGGAGGGAUUGGCCCUUUGAAGCCUCGGCAGCGGAUUCUUUUUUAGAAUACUGUGCCAAAUCCAACAAAAUUAUUUUUGAGAGAUAAGAA
rnacentral:ncRNA from 2 species